rnacentral:tRNA from 1 species
GCCCAGAUAGCUCAGUUGGUAGAGCACGUCCUUGGUAAGGACGAGGUCGCCGGUUCGAGUCCGGUUCUGGGCU